rnacentral:rRNA from 1 species
UGGGGAAUUUUGGACAAUGGGCGAAAGCCUGAUCCAGCAAUGCCGCGUGUGUGAAGAAGGCCUUCGGGUUGUAAAGCACUUUUGUCCGGAAAGAAAUCCUUGGCUCUAAUACAGUCGGGGAAUGACGGUACCGGAAGAAUAAGCACCGGCUAACUACGUGCCAGCAGCCGCGGUAAUACGUAGGGUGCAAGCGUUAAUCGGAAUUACUGGGCGUAAAGCGUGCGCAGGCGGUUUGCUAAGACCGAUGUGAAAUCCCCGGGCUCAACCUGGGAACUGCAUUGGUGACUGGCAGGCUAGAGUAUGGCAGAGGGGGGUAGAAUUCCACGUGUAGCAGUGAAAUGCGUAGAGAUGUGGAGGAAUACCGAUGGCGAAGGCAGCCCCCUGGGCCAAUACUGACGCUCAUGCACGAAAGCGUGGGGAGCAAACAGGAUUAGAUACCCUGGUAGUCCACGCCCUAAACGAUGUCAACUAGUUGUUGGGGAUUCAUUUCCUUAGUAACGUAGCUAACGCGUGAAGUUGACCGCCUGGGGAGUACGGUCGCAAGAUUAAAACUCAAAGGAAUUGACGGGGUCAUAGCUGUUUCCU